AGCGAGCGGCGGAUGGGUGAGUAACACGUGGGGAACCUGCCCCAUAAGUCUGGGAUACCAUUUGGAAACAGGUGCUAAUACCGGAUAAUAAAGCAGAUCGCAUGAUCAGCUUUUGAAAGGCGGCGUAAGCUGUCGCUAAGGGAUGGCCCCGCGGUGCAUUAGCUAGUUGGUAAGGUAACGGCUUACCAAGGCGACGAUGCAUAGCCGAGUUGAGAGACUGAUCGGCCACAUUGGGACUGAGACACGGCCCAAACUCCUACGGGAGGCAGCAGUAGGGAAUCUUCCACAAUGGACGCAGGUCUGAUGGAGCAACGCCGCGUGAGUGAAGAAGGUUUUCGGAUCGUAAAGCUCUGUUGUUGGUGAAGAAGGAUAGAGGUAGUAACUGGCCUUUAUUUGACGGUAAUCAACCAGAAAGUCACGGCUAACUACGUGCCAGCAGCCGCGGUAAUACGUAGGUGGCAAGCGUUGUCCGGAUUUAUUGGGCGUAAAGCGAGCGCAGGCGGAAAAAUAAGUCUAAUGUGAAAGCCCUCGGCUUAACCGAGGAACUGCAUCGGAAACUGUUUUUCUUGAGUGCAGAAGAGGAGAGUGGAACUCCAUGUGUAGCGGUGGAAUGCGUAGAUAUAUGGAAGAACACCAGUGGCGAAGGCGGCUCUCUGGUCUGCAACUGACGCUGAGGCUCGAAAGCAUGGGUAGCGAACAGGAUUAGAUACCCUGGUAGUCCAUGCCGUAAACGAUGAGUGCUAAGUGUUGGGGAGGUUUCCGCCCUCUCAGUGCUGCAGCUAACGCAUUUAAGCACUCCGCCUUGGGGAGUACAACCGCCAAAGGUUGAAACUCAAAGGAAUU
rnacentral:rRNA from 1 species